rnacentral:ncRNA from 4 species
AAAAAAAAAAAAAAAAAAAAAAAA